rnacentral:rRNA from 1 species
GUGGAUUAGAUACCCUAGUAGUCCACGCUGUAAACGAUGGGCACUAGGUGUGGGGGGUGUCGACUCCCUCCGUGCCGAAGCUAACGCAUUAAGUGCCCCGCCUGGGGAGUACGGCCGCAAGGCUAAAACUCAAAGGAAUUGACGGGGGCCCGCACAAGCAGCGGAGCAUGUGGUUUAAUUCGACGCAACGCGAAGAACCUUACCUGGGCUUGACAUGUGGAUGACCGGCCUGGAAACAGGUCUUCCCUUCGGGGCAUCUUCACAGGUGGUGCACGGUCGUCGUCAACU